GAUCCUGGCUCAGAAUCAACGCUGGCGGCGUGCCUCAGACAUGCAAGUCGAACGAUUAAAGCUCUCUUCGGAGAGUGCAUAAAGUGGCGCACGGGUGAGUAACACGUAAGUAAUCUACCUUCGAGUGGGGAAUAACGUUCGGAAACGAACGCUAAUACCGCAUAAUGCAGCGGCAUCGCAAGAUGACAGUUGUUAAAGAUUUAUCGCUUGAAGAGGAGCUUGCGGCAGAUUAGCUAGUUGGUAAGGUAAUGGCUUACCAAGGCUACGAUCUGUAUCCGGUCUAAGAGGACGGUCGGACACACUGACACUGAAUAACGGGUCAGACUCCUACGGGAGGCAGCAGUCGGGAAUUUUGGGCAAUGGGCGAAAGCCUGACCCAGCAACGCCGCGUGAAGGAUGAAGUUUUUCGGAAUGUAAACUUCGUAAGAAUAGGAAGAAUAAAUGACGGUACUAUUUGUAAGGUCCGGCUAACUACGUGCCAGCAGCCGCGGUAAUACGUAGGGACCAAGCGUUGUUCGGAUUUACUGGGCGUAAAGGGCGCGUAGGCGGCAAUUCAAGUCAUCUGUGAAAUCUCCGGGCUUAACUCGGAAUGGUCAGGUGAUACUGCUUUGCUAGAGUGCAGAAGGGGCAAUCGGAAUUCUUGGUGUAGCGGUGAAAUGCGUAGAUAUCAAGAGGAACACCUGAGGUGAA
rnacentral:rRNA from 1 species